rnacentral:rRNA from 1 species
UCGGACUGCAGCCUGCAACCCGGCUGCACGAAGCCGGAAUCGCUAGUAAUCGCAGAUCAGAAUGCUGCGGUGAAUACGUUCCCGGGUCUUGUACACACCGCCCGUCACACCAUGGGAGUCGGAAAUGCCCGAAGUCAGUGACCCAACCUUAUAGGAGGGAGCUGCCGAAGGCGGGAUGGACAACUGGGGUGAAGUCGUAACAAGGUAAC